GAUGAACGCUGGCGGCGUGCUUAACACAUGCAAGUCGAACGAACCUUCGGGUUAGUGGCGGACGGGUGAGUAACGCGUGAGAAUCUGCCCUCAGGAGGGGGAUAACGGCUGGAAACGGCCGCUAAUACCCCAUAUGCCGCGAGGUGAAAUGAAUUUCGCCUGAGGAUGAGCUCGCGUCUGAUUAGCUAGUUGGUGGGUAAGAGCCUACCAAGGCUUCGAUCAGUAGCUGGUCUGAGAGGAUGAUCAGCCACACUGGGACUGAGACACGGCCCAGACUCCUACGGGAGGCAGCAGUGGGGAAUUUUCCGCAAUGGGCGAAAGCCUGACGGAGCAACGCCGCGUGAGGGAUGAAGGCCUCUGGGCUGUAAACCUCUUUUCUCAGGGACGAUAAUGACGGUACCUGAGGAAUAAGCCACGGCUAACUACGUG
rnacentral:rRNA from 1 species